AUUGAACGCUGGCGGCAGGCUUAACACAUGCAAGUCGAGCGGAGAUGAGGUGCUUGCACCUUAUCUUAGCGGCGGACGGGUGAGUAAUGAUUAGGAAUCUGCCUAUUAGUGGGGGACAACAUUCCGAAAGGAAUGCUAAUACCGCAUACGUCCUACGGGAGAAAGCAGGGGAUCUUCGGACCUUGCGCUAAUAGAUGAGCCUCAGUCGGAUUAGCUAGUUGGUGGGGUAAAGGGCUACCAAGGCGACGAUCUGUAGCGGGUCUGAGAGGAUGAUCCGCCACACUGGGACUGCGACACGGCCCAGACUCCUACGGGAGGCAGCGGUGGUCCGUAUUGGACAAUGGGGGGAACCCUGAUCCCGCCAUGCCGCGUGUGUGAAGAAGGCCUUAUGGUUGUAAAGCCCUUUCCGCGAGGAGGAGGCUACUGUUCCUUCUACUCUUGGAUAGUGGACGUUACUCGCAGAAUCAGCACCGGCUAACUCUGUGCCAGCCGCCGCCGUAAGAC
rnacentral:rRNA from 1 species